UACGAAGGGGGGCUAGCGUUGCUCGGAAUCACUGGGCGUAAAGCGCACGUAGGCGGAUUGCUAAGUCAGGGGUGAAAUCCUGGAGCUCAACUCCAGAACUGCCUUUGAUACUGGUGAUCUUGAGUCCGGAAGAGGCGAGUGGAAUUCCUGGUGUAACGGUGAAAUGCGCAGAUAUCAGGAGGAACACCGGUGGCGAAGGCGGAUCUCUGGGCCUUACCUGACGCUCAGGUGCGAAAGCUAGGGGAGCGAACAGG
rnacentral:rRNA from 1 species